AGGUGCAAUCAUACCAGCAUUAAUGCACCAGACCCCAUCAGAACUCCGUCGUUAUGCGUGCUUGGGUGAGAGUAGUACUAGGAUGGGUGACCUCCUGGGUAGUCCUCGUGUUGCACCUC
rfam:Lupinus angustifolius cultivar Tanjil contig_1795, whole genome shotgun sequence.